rnacentral:rRNA from 1 species
GAUGAACGCUGGCGGCGUGCCUAAUACAUGCAAGUCGAGCGAACGGACGAGAAGCUUGCUUCUCUGAUGUUAGCGGCGGACGGGUGAGUAACACGUGGAUAACCUACCUAUAAGACUGGGAUAACUUCGGGAAACCGGAGCUAAUACCGGAUAAUAUUUUGAACCGCAUGGUUCAAAAGUGAAAGACGGUCUUUCUGUCACUUAUAGAUGGAUCCGCGCUGCAUUAGCUAGUUGGUAAGGUAACGGCUUACCAAGGCAACGAUGCAUAGCCGACCUGAGAGGGUGAUCGGCGACAGUGGAACUGAGACACGGACCAGACUCCUACGGGAGGCAGCAGUAGGGAAUCUUCCGCAAUGGGCGAAAGCCUGACGGAGCAACGCCGCGUGAGUGAUGAAGGUCUUCGGAUCGUAAAACUCUGUUAUUAGGGAAGAACAUAUGUGUAAGUAACUGUGCACAUCUUGACGGUACCUAAUCAGAAAGCCACGGCUAACUACGUG